rnacentral:rRNA from 1 species
GAGAGGGUGAAACUCCCGUGUGACUGGACUGACGAAGCAAGCACUACUGAGUCGAGUUGUUUGGGAUUGCAGCUCAAAUACGGUGGUAAAUUUCAUCUCAAGCUAAAUACUAAAAGGAGACCGAUAGCGCACAAGUACCGUGAGGGAAAGAUGACAAGAACUUUGAAAAGAGAGUGAAAGAGUACCUGAAAUUGCUGAAAAGGAAGCGAACGAACCUAGUGAAAGCAAUGUCAUACUUUCCAACUUGCUCGCAACUUGGACGCUGUGGCUUGCCAWGUUCCACUGCAUCGCAGCCUGCAGYGCAAGCAGGUGGAGAACAGUUUUGUUGUUCCACUCCCGCACUGCCUGCAAUGCAGCRGAACGAAAUAGAUUUGUUUGUCCCGUCUAGAAACACGGACCAAGGAGUCUAACAUAUGUGCGAGUACAAAGGCAGCAUGCCUUGGUGCGCAAUGAAAGUGUCAGAGGCUGGAAUGCUGUUACAAGCAGUGCACAGUCCGCCGGCCCCCAUCC